GAUAAACGCUGGCGGCGUGCCUAAUACAUGCAAGUCGAACGUGAUUCCAUUUCGGUGGAUGAAAGUGGCGCACGGGUGAGUAACACGUAGCUGACCUGCCCUUCAGUGGGGGACAACGGGUGGAAACGCCCGCUAAUACCGCAUACGCUCUCGGCAGCUAGACAACCGGGAGGAAAGCUUUAGUGCUGAAGGAGGGGGCUGCGACCCAUCAGGUAGUUGGUAGGGUAAGAGCCUACCAAGCCGACGACGGGUAGGGGGCCUGAGAGGGUGACCCCCCACACGGGGACUGAGACACGGCCCAGGCUCCUACGGGAGGCAGCAGUAAGGGAUAUUGCGACAAUGGGCGAAAGCCUGACGCAGCAACGCCGCGUGAGGGAUGACGGCCUUCGGGUUGUAAACCUCUUUUCUGUGGGAAGAGACAGGACGGUACCACAGGAAGAAGUCACGGCUAACUACGUGCCAGCCGCCGCAGUAACAC
rnacentral:rRNA from 1 species